rnacentral:rRNA from 1 species
GUCCUAGGGAGGCAGCAGUGAGGAAUAUUGGUCAAUGGGCGCGAGCCUGAACCAGCCAAGUAGCGUGAAGGAUGACUGCCCUACGGGUUGUAAACUUCUUUUAUAAAGGAAUAAAGUGAGGCACGUGUGCCUUUUUGUAUGUACUUUAUGAAUAAGGAUCGGCUAACUCCGUGCCAGCAGCCGCGGUAAUACGGAGGAUCCGAGCGUUAUCCGGAUUUAUUGGGUUUAAAGGGUGCGUAGGCGGCGCUUCAGGUCAGCGGUGAAAUACCGGGGCUCAACCCCGGGGCUGCCGUUGAAACCGGAGG